GCUUGCCGCAGCACGGAGAACUCCUGCAGGUGGAAUCUGACCGAAAGGAAAAGUCAAGGUCACCAGCCUUCAUCUGCAGUCUCCAGGCAAAUGCACGGCUGGAGACGGAGACAGGACCUUCCCAACCCUCCUUGGGUCCAGGUGGGGCCACAUGCUUGGGUUCGUCAGUGGACGAUGAACGGCCGUGAGGGCAGCCAUUUCCAGGACAUGGCCCCGGCAGAGGGGAGAGCCACACGAUGGAAGGGGCCCUGGUGCCCGAACAUGGUGUAGAAGAAUCUUCCAGACCCACCCACCCAGGACGCGACGUGGGCGGGAGCUGACCUGAAUGGUGUAGGCACCCUGAAACGGGGGGGGGGGGGGUUGUUUGUCAGCGGGCUUCAUCUCUUUGAGCUUCUUUGUCAAAUGGGCGUACUAAUAAAACCUUGGCUUUAUAGGACCA
rnacentral:lncRNA from 1 species